GACGAACGCUGGCGGCGUGCUUAACACAUGCAAGUCGAACGGAAAGGCCCUGCUUUUGUGGGGUGCUCGAGUGGCGAACGGGUGAGUAACACGUGAGUAAACCGCACCUGUCUUAGGGAUAAAUUCUGGAAACUCGGGCUAAUACAGGAUAGGAGAUCCUGCUGCACGGUGGGGGUUGGAAAGAUGCGGCGGUUGGGGAUGGACUCGCGGGUUAUCAGCUUGUUGGUGGGGUAGUGGAUUAGCAAGGCUUUGACGGGUAGCCGGCCUGGGAGGGUGACCGGCCACAUUGGCAUAGGGGUACGGCCCGUACGCCUACGGGAGGAAGGGGUGGGGACUAGUGGACAAUGGGCGGAGGGCGGGUGGAGCAUCUCCGCGUGCGAGAUGUCUGCUUUCAGGGUGUAAACCGCGUUCGCGUGUGACGAAGCGUGUGGAAGGUAAAUAGGUAGAGAAGCACCGGCAAACUACUG
rnacentral:rRNA from 1 species